rnacentral:rRNA from 1 species
GGAGACCUCAGGUCAGGCGGGGCUACCCGCUGAGU